rnacentral:rRNA from 1 species
GAUGAACGCUGGCGGCGUGCCUAAUACAUGCAAGUCGAGCGAACAGAUGAGGAGCUUGCUCCUCUGACGUUAGCGGCGGACGGGUGAGUAACACGUGGAUAACCUACCUAUAAGACUGGGAUAACUUCGGGAAACCGGAGCUAAUACCGGAUAAUAUAUUGAACCGCAUGGUUCAAUAGUGAAAGACGGUUUUGCUGUCACUUAUAUAUGGAUCCGCGCCGCAUUAGCUAGUUGGUAAGGUAACGGCUUACCAAGGCAACGAUGCGUAGCCGACCUGAGAGGGUGAUCGGCCACACUGGAACUGAGACACGGUCCAGACUCCUACGGGAGGCAGCAGUAGGGAAUCUUCCGCAAUGGGCGAAAGCUUGACGGAGCAACGCCGCGUGAGUGAUGAAGGUCUUCGGAUCGUAAAACUCUGUUAUUAGGGAAGAACAAAUGUGUAAGUAACUAUGCACGUCUUGACGGUACCUAAUCAGAAAGCCACGGCUAACUACGUG